rnacentral:rRNA from 1 species
UGGGGAAUUUUGGACAAUGGGCGAAAGCCUGAUCCAGCAAUGCCGCGUGUGUGAAGAAGGCCUUCGGGUUGUAAAGCACUUUUGUCCGGAAAGAAAUCCUUGGCUCUAAUACAGUCGGGGGAUGACGGUACCGGAAGAAUAAGCACCGGCUAACUACGUGCCAGCAGCCGCGGUAAUACGUAGGGUGCAAGCGUUAAUCGGAAUUACUGGGGCGUAAAGCGUGCGCAGGCGGUUUGCUAAGACCGAUGUGAAAUCCCCGGGCUCAACCUGGGAACUGCAUUGGUGACUGGCAGGCUAGAGUAUGGCAGAGGGGGGUAGAAUUCCACGUGUAGCAGUGAAAUGCGUAGAGAUGUGGAGGAAUACCGAUGGCGAAGGCAGCCCCCUGGGCCAAUACUGACGCUCAUGCACGAAAGCGUGGGGAGCAAACAGGAUUAGAUACCCUGGUAGUCCACGCCCUAAACGAUGUCAACUAGUUGUUGGGGAUUCAUUUCCUUAGUAACGUAGCUAACGCGUGAAGUUGACCGCCUGGGGAGUACGGUCGCAAGAUUAAAACUCAAAGGAAUUGACGGGGUCAUAGCUGUUUCCU